rnacentral:rRNA from 1 species
GAUGAACGCUGGCGGCGUGCCUAAUACAUGCAAGUAGAACGCUGAAGGAAGGAGCUUGCUCUUUCCGGAUGAGUUGCGAACGGGUGAGUAACGCGUAGGUAACCUGCCUGGUAGCGGGGGAUAACUAUUGGAAACGAUAGCUAAUACCGCAUAACAGUAGAUGUUGCAUGAUAUCUACUUAAAAGGUGCAAUUGCACCACUACCAGAUGGGCCUGCGUUGUAUUAGCUAGUUGGUGAGGUAACGGCUCACCAAGGCGACGAUACAUAGCCGACCUGAGAGGGUGAUCGGCCACACUUGGACUGGGACACCGCCCAGACCCCUACGGGAGGCAGCAGUAGGGAAUCUUCGGAAAUGGACGGAAGUCUGACCGAGCAACGCCGCGUGGGUGAAGAAGGUUUUCGGAUCGUAAAGCUCUUUUGUAAGAGAAGAACGAGUGUGAGGGUGGAAAGUUCACACUGUGACGGUAUCUUACCAGAAAGGGACGGCUAACUACGUG